UAAGGAAUAUUGGUCAAUGGACGCAAGUCUGAACCAGCCAUGCCGCGUGGAGGAUGAAGGUCCUCUGGAUUGUAAACUUCUUUUAUCUGGGACGAAACACUUCUUUUCUAAGAGGCCUGACGGUACCAGAUGAAUAAGCACCGGCUAACUCCGUGCCAGCAGCCGCGGUAAUACGGAGGGUGCAAGCGUUAUCCGGAUUCACUGGGUUUAAAGGGUGCGUAGGUGGGUAUGUAAGUCAGUGGUGAAAUCCCCGAGCUUAACUUGGGAACUGCCAUUGAUACUAUAUAUCUUGAAUACCGUAGAGGUAAGCGGAAUAUGUCAUGUAGCGGUGAAAUGCUUAGAUAUGACAUGGAACACCAAUUGCGAAGGCAGCUUACUAUGCGGUGAUUGACACUGAGGCACGAAAGCGUGGGUAGCAAAC
rnacentral:rRNA from 1 species